CACGUGAUCACCUGCGUCCCAAAAUUCUUGUCUUACAUUUGUUUAGAUACAGAUGUAUCUAACACUAAAAUGUAACUAGAUACAUCCAUAUUUAGACAAAUUUAAGAUAAGAAUUUUGGGACGUAGGGAGUACAAA
rfam:Triticum aestivum genome assembly, contig: Triticum_aestivum_CS42_TGACv1_scaffold_409082_5BL